GACGGGGCCGCACAAGCGGUGGAGCAUGUGGUUCAAUUCGAUGCAACGCGAAAACCUUACCCACCUUUGACAUGUACGGAAUCCUUUAGAGGUAGAGGAGUGCUCGAAAGAGAGCCGUAACACAGGUGCUGCAUGGCUGUCGUCAGCUCGUGUCGUGAGAUGUUGGGUUAAGUCCCGCAACGAGCGCAACCCUUGUCAUUAGUUGCUACAUUCAGUUGGGCACUCUAAUGAGACUGCCGGUGACAAACCGGAGGAAGGUGGGGAUGACGUCAAGUCCUCAUGGCCCUUAUAGGUGGGGCUACACACGUCAUACAAUGGAUGGUACAAAGGGUCGCCAACCCGCGAGGGGGAGCCAAUCCCAUAAAGCCAUUCGUAGUCCGGAUCGCAGUCUGCAACUCGACUGCGUGAAGUCGGAAUCGCUAGUAAUCGUGGAUCAGAAUGUCACGGUGAAUACGUUCCCGGGUCUU
rnacentral:rRNA from 1 species